UACACCCUUCAGCCCUUUUUUUUCACAAGUGCAAUGCUGCCACCUGCUGCCUGAAAUCUCUUUGUUUGUUUUUAUGAGAUUUUCCACACAUCUGCCUCCUCAAGUGGAGGCGCGCAGGAGUGUACAUUUUGUUGCGUCCUCUGUGGUAGGGGUUUAGUUUGAUUUUAAGACGCAUGUGAUUGGCCAACAGUUCCUGCCCUCAACUCAGACUGUUCUCUGGUAGGUUGACCGCAUUGACAGCAACACAAAUGACUCCACCCACUAGUAUCUUCGUCUUUAGUUACUUAUGCCAAUAUUCUUAGAAGUUUUUAUGGCCAUAUCGAAAAAUUGUACGAGCGUUAUUGAUGUGGGCUACGCUAGCAUCGUAGCUCAUUUACAACAUUACCACCAUCAGUAAUCAGAAUCAAAACCAAGUCAGAGUGAAGAGACAAGCUGAGAGAGAGACAGAGGUCAUGAUCAGAUGAGCUCCUGCAUUUUUCAGCAUGUUCUUAAAAAAAAAAAGAUUUAGAGUUAGAUAAACUUGGAUUUUUUUGUCAGGAACAUAUACAGGAUACUACCCUCUACAACAUAACCUUCACUCCAAAUCAAAACCUACAACCUGAUUUUGGACGUAACUACAUAAUCACCUGGAAGGUUUACAACUACCAAAGAGUAUUAUUCCAACGCUAUACAGCAAAUGCUCUGGAAACAACAGAAACCUGAAAACACCAUCCAACCUGGAACUGACCAGGUGAGGGAGAGGCUGAAGAAGGAUGUGGAGCAGAUGAAGUCUCAGGACCCUAACUUUCGACCAGGUCCGGUUGUGUUACAGGUGGGGGACAGAGAUGAUUCAAGCCUCUACAUCAGCAUGAAGCCGAAGGCAGCAGCUGAG